GAUCAUGGCUCAGAUUGAACGCUGGCGGCAUGCCUUACACAUGCAAGUCGAACGGUAACGGGCCUUCGGGUGCCGACGAGUGGCGAACGGGUGAGUAAUGCAUCGGAACGUACCUUUCAGUGGGGAUAACGUAGCGAAAGUUACGCUAAUACCGCAUAUUCUGUGAGCAGGAAAGCAGGGGAUCGCAAGACCUUGCGCUGAUUGAGCGGCCGAUGUCAGAUUAGCUAGUUGGUGAGGUAAAGGCUCACCAAGGCGACGAUCUGUAGCGGGUCUGAGAGGAUGAUCCGCCACACUGGAACUGAGACACGGUCCAGACUCCUACGGGAGGCAGCAGUGGGGAAUUUUGGACAAUGGGGGCAACCCUGAUCCAGCCAUGCCGCGUGAGUGAAGAAGGCCUUCGGGUUGUAAAGCUCUUUCGGCCGGGAAGAAAUCGCAUGGGUUAAUACCCUGUGCGGAUGACGGUACCGGCAUAAGAAGCACCGGCUAACUACGUG
rnacentral:rRNA from 1 species